rnacentral:rRNA from 1 species
GACAGAGGUGCCGAGCGUUAGGCGGAAUCACUGGGCUUAAAGCGUGUGUAGGCGGGCCGUUAAGUGCCCCGUGAAAUCCCCCGGCUCAACCGGGGAACGGCGGGGCAUACUGGCGGCCUUGAGCCACUUAAGGGCAGACGGAACAAGCGGUGGAGCGGUGAAAUGCGUAGAUAUCGCUUGGAACGCCGACGGCGAAAGCAGUCUGCUGGGGGUGUGCUGACGCCGAGACACGAAAGCCAGGGGAGCGAACGGG